rnacentral:rRNA from 1 species
UACGUAGGGCGCAAGCGUUGUCCGGAAUUAUUGGGCGUAAAGAGCUCGUAGGCGGUUUGUCGCGUCUGUCGUGAAAGCCCACGGCUUAACCGUGGAUCUGCGGUGGAUACGGGCAGACUAGAGGCAGGUAGGGGAGAAUGGAAUUCCCGGUGUAGCGGUGAAAUGCGCAGAUAUCGGGAGGAACACCGGUGGCGAAGGCGGUUCUCUGGGCCUGUACUGACGCUGAGGAGCGAAAGCGUGGGGAGCGAACAGG